AACGAACGCUGGCGGCAUGCCUAACACAUGCAAGUCGAACGAGACCUUCGGGUCUAGUGGCGCACGGGUGCGUAACGCGUGGGAAUCUGCCCCUUGGUUCGGAAUAACAGUUAGAAAUGACUGCUAAUACCGGAUAACGACGAAAGUCCAAAGAUUUAUCGCCGAGGGAUGAGCCCGCGUAAGAUUAGCUUGUUGGCGAGGUAACGGCUCACCAAGGCGACGAUCUUUAGCUGGUCUGAGAGGAUGAUCAGCCACACUGGGACUGAGACACGGCCCAGACUCCUACGGGAGGCAGCAGUGGGGAAUAUUGGACAAUGGGCGAAAGCCUGAUCCAGCAAUGCCGCGUGAGUGAUGAAGGCCUUAGGGUUGUAAAGCUCUUUUACCCGGGAUGAUAAUGACAGUACCGGGAGAAUAAGCGCCGGCUAACUCCGUGCCAGCAGCCGCAGUAA
rnacentral:rRNA from 1 species